rnacentral:piRNA from 1 species
UUGUAGAAAAGGAACUGAGUAAAGCG